CAGUGUUGGAGACUGAACCCAGGCCUCAGCUAUCAUAGGCAAGCACUCACCACUGAGUUUUGAAGCUAUAAAGAUUUCUAAUGGCAACAUUUACAAACCCAGUCCAGCUUAUAGAAAAUCAUGGUCCUAAUUUGCUUUGGCUCAGACCUUCUUUUCUUCCAGGCCACAGAGUACAAAUUAAAGCCUGUCUUCAGCUGGAUGGCCUCAGAGAAGACCACGUGGCAUGCAUGACUUAUCGUGGGGCUGACCUUUUCUACGGCAUCUGUAUCCAGAGCAACAAGAAAAGCGUUGAUGACAAUCAGGGUGUUGCUAAGAAUCCCUGGCUGUCCUGGAACUCUCUAUGUAAGCUGAAUGGCAUUAAUUACAGGCAUUAAAGGUGUACCCCACCACACCAGGUCAGUCCCGUGUGUGGGGAUGCUGCUCUUUGGUUCUGCACCGGCCUAGCAUGUGCAAAACCCUGGGCUGAAUCUUCCCAACUGCAAUAAACAAGCAAAAACACCAGCAAAACUGUCUUUAGCCUCUGGAAAGCUCCUGAUUCAAGACAGCCGGAGUUAACUGGUCCUGAUUCAAGACAGCCGGAGUUAACUGGUCUUGGCUCUUUCUGCUACAUCUGUGGCAGUGCAGUUUCACAACAUGACUGAUUAGACCAUGGAGAGCAGAAAGGGGAAGGUCCCCAUUGGAAGUGACUUUAUGGGGGACAAAGGACUUGAUACGAACCCUGGCCAAAAUAGCCUCAUAGGAUUAGAUUGAGUAAUGCGAAGAGACCAGAAUAGACAAACUGAAGGAGCUGCAUAGCAUCUACCUGUGAUGUUCAGUAUUGGAGUAACCAGGCCUGGUCCUCAUUUUUCAACUUGGGACAGUUCCACAAGACAUCAUAGCAUAAAGAUUCCCAUGGGACAGUCUAAGACGUUAUUAUAUUUUCCUUCUGUCCAGCCCUACUUCCAUUUCAGUACAACUCCCAAGAGCUUCCCCCAGUAAACUUCCUGCAAGGGAAUUUAGUCUCUUAACCUUCUCCCUGGGCAAUAUGAGCUGAAUUUCAUCCUCUGGUCUUGAGUCCUCAAAGUUACAAAGAACAGGAUCAGCACUGACGAAGACAUGGAGAAUUCCUGGCAGUUUU